rnacentral:rRNA from 1 species
GACGAACGCUGGCGGCGUGCUUAACACAUGCAAGUCGAACGGAAAGGCCCCUUUGGGGGUACUCGAGUGGCGAACGGGUGAGUAACACGUGCGUAACCUGCCCUUGACUUCGGGAUAACUUCAGGAAACUGGGGCUAAUACCGGCUAGGAAUCCUUGCUGCAUGGUGGGGGUUGGAAAGCUUCGGCGGUUUUGGAUGGACUCACGGCUUAUCAGCUUGUUGGUGGGGUAGUGGCUUACCAAGGCUUUGACGGGUAGCCGGCCUGAGAGGGCGACCGGCCACAUUGGGACUGAGAUACGGCCCAGACUCCUACGGGAGGCAGCAGUGGGGAAUAUUGCACAAUGGGCGGAAGCCUGAUGCAGCAACGCCGCGUGCGGGAUGACGGCCUUCGGGUUGUAAACCGCUUUCAGCAGGGGCGAAGCUUGUGGUGACGGUACCUGCAGAAGAAGCACCGGCUAACUACGUG